UACGAAGGGGGCUAGCGUUGCUCGGAAUCACUGGGCGUAAAGCGCACGUAGGCGGACUCUUAAGUCGGUGGUGAAAUCCUGGAGCUCAACUCCAGAACUGCCUUCGAUACUGGGAGUCUCGAGUUCGGGAGAGGUGAGUGGAACUGCGAGUGUAGAGGUGAAAUUCGUAGAUAUUCGCAAGAACACCAGUGGCGAAGGCGGCUCACUGGCCCGAUACUGACGCUGAGGUGCGAAAGCAUGGGGAGCAAACAGG
rnacentral:rRNA from 1 species